rnacentral:misc_RNA from 1 species
UGCUGUUGCCGCCACAUGCAUGGGUCUUCAUGUCGGGGGGGUUGUGGUACGCGUCGGGGCAUCCAGGGUCCGUGCACACCAGCCGCACGCCGGUGCUGCAGGAGAAGGCCAUGGCGAGGUUGUAGCCGUCGAUGACCGAGAUGUCGUAGAAGUCCUGGCUGCCGCCGAUGGUGAACUCGGCCAGCGUCAGCGGCGGCUGCCCCGACAGCGUGCAGGCCAGCGCGCCGCCGCAGUCGCCUGUCUGGCAGCUCCCGCUGUUGCCGUUGAAGGAGCAGCCGGUGCGGCCCCACACGCGGCCGGAGCUGGUGCCAGCCGGCACGUUGACGGUCCACGUCCCGCCCGGGUUCAGCUGCGUGCCCCCGCCCACCGGGGUGGCCGCGGGCCACACGGUGAACCCGCAGUUGUUGGUGAUGGUGAAGGUGGCGGCGUUGGCGCUCAUGCCAGCCAAGGCGGCGGCCAGGAGCAGCAGGAGGACCGAGGACGAGGAGGCGGCGGCCAUUGUUGGUGCUCUGCCUUGUUUCUUGUGGA